rnacentral:rRNA from 1 species
CCUACGGGUGGCAGCAGUGAGGAAUAUUGGUCAAUGGACGAGAGUCUGAACCAGCCAAGUAGCGUGAAGGAUGACUGCCCUAUGGGUUGUAAACUUCUUUUAUAAAGGAAUAAAACGAGGCACGUGUGCCUGUUUGCAUGUACUUUAUGAAUAAGGAUCGGCUAACUCCGUGCCAGCAGCCGCGGUAAUACGGAGGAUCCGAGCGUUAUCCGGAUUUAUUGGGUUUAAAGGGAGCGUAGAUGGGUUGUUAAGUCAGUUGUGAAAGUUUGCGGCUCAACCGUAAAAUUGCAAUUGAUACUGGUAGUCUUGAGUACAGUUGAGGUAGGCGGAAUGCGUGGUGUAGCGGUGAAAUGCUUAGAUAUCACGAAGAACCCCGAUUGCGAAGGCAGCUUACUAAACUGUGACUGACAUUGAUGCUCGAAAGUGUGGGUAUCAAACAGGAUUAGAUACCCUUGUAGUC